UUUAUUUUUUUUUUGAAGUUAGGAGGUCUAUUUUUUUUUUUUAUUUUGCAGUUAGUAGGGCCUUUUUUUUUUUUUUGAAGUUAAGAGAGCCUUUUUCCAGAAUGAAACAUCUGAAAUCUCCAACCAGAUCUAGACUAACUGAUGCACACUUGUUACGACUAGCAGUGACAAAUAUGGAACCGGACAUUGACCAUCUCACUGGCCAAAAGCAGGCCCAUAGUUCCCAUUGAAAUACUGAACUCCAGUUGACAUGAACACUUUUGCUGAUUUGCUCAUUCUCUGCUGUCCUGAAAGUGAGAUAGUUUUCCCUGACCAAGAAUGUAAACCAGUGAUGACCCAGGAUGUAUUCUAAAUUUAUAAUAAAGCCUAUUUCUUGGUCUUCCCUAAUCA